UACAGAGGAGCCAAGCGUUGUCCGGAUUGACUGGGCGUAAAGCGCACGCAGGCGGUUUGGCGCGUGGGGUGUGAAAUCUGGCCGCUUAACGGCCAGGCGCCAUCCCAUACGGCCGGACUGGAGGGCUGCAGAGGUCGAUGGAAUUGCCGGUGUAGUGGUGAAAUGUGUAGAGAUCGGGAGGAACACCGGUGGCGAAGGCGGUUCUCUGGGCCUGUACUGACGCUGAGGAACGAAAGCGUGGGGAGCAAACAGG
rnacentral:rRNA from 1 species